rnacentral:other from 1 species
ACUGCCCUGCUGUGAUCGUGGAUCGCGGUGAGUUUGAGCCAACACCGUGAAAGAGGGAGCCUGACCUCCUUCUGCGGCGUGUAAGCCGUGUAGUCAGCGGAAACACAAAAGCUUUUGGGGAGGCACCCACCUGCUUAAGCAGGUUCAACACCCUCCGGGUUCACGACAUGGCGGGGUUUUU